rnacentral:lncRNA from 13 species
UUUGCUUGGAAGAGACUCAAGCAGGCACCUGAAGGUCCAAGAGAGAAAAGAGAGCAAAAGAAGACAGCAAACAAUGGAGCACUUAACCUUGAUCCUGGGACUUUAUAGGCUUGCCUCUUUCCCAUGACUGUUGUUCUAGGGUAGGCUUUCUGCAUGUGCAAUGCCCUCCUUACCCUGGGGAACUGAGUGUGACCAGUGUGUUUAGGGAGUUAGAUGCAUGCCCAUCUGAGGCUUUCUUCCCUUUUCUGGUAGAGUGUGUCCUGGAAGAUCAUACUUCACUAUUUUUGUCUCUUAAUACACAUGCUCAAGAAGUUGCUUAUCCCUGGGGUCUGCAUUCAACUAACAUUUUCAAUGUUAACAGGUGUGGGCCAAGGAGAUUGCCUCUCCUUGGCUACUAAACUAUCUUUUUUAGAGACAAUGUGAUAAUUGCCAAAUCAUCAUUCGACAUUCCUAGUGGGUUGGGGAGAGCUCGCUCCUGCCUUGCUCAUUGCCUACCUAUCUGUAACAUGCUGGUUGUUGAUAUUAUAAUACUGGAACUCAUUUUGUAGAAUUCUACUAUGUUUUUCUUUUUCUUCCUUUUUUUUUCCUUUGAGACAGAGUCUCACUCUGUUGCCCAGGCUGGAGUGCAAUGGUGUGAUCCUGGCUCACUGGAAUCGCUACCUCCCAGGAUCAAACAAUUCUCCUGCCUCAGCCUCCUAAGUAGCUGGGAUUACAGGCCAGUGUGUGAAACUCAGUCUUUGGCUUCUGAUCAGUCUACCAUGAUACUGACAACCUACCAGCUGGAGAGAAGUCUCUACAUGGGCUGUGCGAAAGAGAUUCAGAGGCGUGUACUGAAUUUCCCCAGUAAAUUGUCUAGUAUAAAGGAAGAUAAGCAUCCCUGCUGAAGAAGAGUGGAAAUAUAAUGGAAUCAAUUUAGUGUGUCUGUGAAAAGAACUUAUUUCCCCAUUCCCCCAGGAACCAGGCAAGUGGCAUUUCUCUUAUUCAUGCUAAAUAGUAGAAGGCAUAGUCACCAUUUACUCAGAAUAAUCCUUUCUUAAUGGCAGAGAAGUCCUAUCCAGAAAAGUAUUGUAAGAAAAUAUAUUGUGGGAUCCAGGAUUCUCUUUAGGGCACAGAGAAUCUUGUAGAAUGAAGGGCAAUUUUAUCAUCUUUCUCUUGAAAAUAAUUCCUUUACUGUCUCUUGGGCAUAUUGGUGACCACAUAAUAGUUCUAAAGUGCCAUAUUUCCUUUUCCAAAGGGAAAAUGGAAUAAUCAGUAGAAGAUAGGGAAUGACAAAAAGACCUAUAGGUAGCCUUCCUUGAUAUGAUGGGCCAGUUAAAGGAUCAGUUGUUGUGGGGUAUUAAACACUACCAUCCAUGAUGAGGAGAAUUAACAAGAGAAUUCCCAUGAAAUAAGAUAAUGAAGACCUGGAAAGGUAGAGAGCAUCUGAUCAAACUUCUUUCAUUAUCCAGAUGAAGGAACAGGGUCCCAGAAAAGAGAACUGUAAGUCACAUGAUUAAUUACUAGUGGAAUCAACAUUGAAAUUAAGGUUUCAUCACCUCAUGCAUAAUCCUUUUCCUCCUGAAACCAGGUACAAAUUGAAAUCAUUUACAAAAUAUGCAUCUCUCUGAGUAAUUAUUACACUGCGUUUUAAUUGCCUACUGUUGAGCUUAUCUUCUUAAAGAAACUGUUGAUUUCUGUAAGGAGGGGCUUAUAAACAUCUUUGCAUUUCCACAAUGUCUGAUACCUAUGUAAUAUUCAAUUAAUGCUGAUUAUAUGUAGGAAGCAAUGAAUACGUAAAUGGAGUUCUUUGCAAUCAAGUUGAUCAUUUUUCUUUCUUUUUUCUAAGUUUUGAAAUUUUCUGACCUGCAGUUUUAUUCCUUUUGAAAUGAAAAACAACUCUAAAGA